rnacentral:rRNA from 1 species
GAUGAACGCUGGCGGCGUGCCUAAUACAUGCAAGUCGAGCGAACAGACGAGGAGCUUGCUCCUCUGACGUUAGCGGCGGACGGGUGAGUAACACGUGGAUAACCUACCUAUAAGACGGGGAUAACUUCGGGAAACCGGAGCUACUACCGGAUAAUAUAUUGAACCGCAUGGUUCAAUAGUGAAUGACGGUUUUGCUGUCACUUAUAGAUGGAUCCGCGCCGCAUUAGCUAGUUGGUAAGGUAACGGCUUACCAAGGCGACGAUGCGUAGCCGACCUGAGAGGGUGAUCGGCCACACUGGAACUGAGACACGGUCCAGACUCCUACGGGAGGCAGCAGUAGGGAAUCUUCCGCAAUGGGCGAAAGCCUGACGGAGCAACGCCGCGUGAGUGAUGAAGGUCUUCGGAUCGUAAAACUCUGUUAUUAGGGAAGAACAAAUGUGUAAGUAACUAUGCACGUCUUGACGGUACCUAAUCAGAAAGCCACGGCUAACUACGUG